GACGAACGCUGGCGGCGUGCUUAACACAUGCAAGUCGAACGGAAAGGCCCUGCUUUUGUGGGGUGCUCGAGUGGCGAACGGGUGAGUAACACGUGAGUAACCUGCCCUUGACUUUGGGAUAACUUCAGGAAACUGGGGCUAAUACCGGAUAGGAGCUCCUGCUGCAUGGUGGGGGUUGGAUAGUUUCGGCGGUUGUGGAUGGACUCGCGGCUUAUCAGCUUGUUGUUGGGGUCGUGGCUUACCAAGGCUUUGACGUGUAGCCGGCCUGUGAGGGUGACCGGCCUCAUUGGGACUGCGUUACGGCCCAGACGCCUAUGGGAGGCAGCAGUCGGGAAUAUUGCACAAUGGGCGGAAGCCUGAUGCAGCAACGCCGCGUGCGGGAUGACGGCCUUCGGGUUGUAAACCGCUUUCGCCUGUGACGAAGCGUGAGUGGCGGUAAUGGGUAAAGAAGCACCGGCUAACUACGUG
rnacentral:rRNA from 1 species